CACAAGUAUACGCGUCACUGUGUUCAUGGUUAAGGCAAGCAGCAGCAGGGCUUCGUCCCAGCUCCAGGCAUAUAUUCAUCAGCUCCGCAGUCUUGCGGAUUAAGCUACAGGCGGCGUUCCCCAGUCGGCUAGCGGUUCCAGCCGGCCGCCCCGCAAACCCGGACGCGGGAGGAAAAGACAAGGAAAUCGGCUCCACGGAAGUUGUUCCGGCUUAAUGGGGAUGGCCUAUUUCACGCAAACAAUUGACGCACGCCUUCAGUCUCUCGAACGGGCGGAACGGGCCCUCAUCGCAUGCGAAGUUUACCCAUCUCUGGCUUCAACCACAACCCCUCCUGCAGGCAGGCAGGGCUUAAGCCACAUCCCAUUGAAGCUACUUCACCUCCCGGCUCAUAGUUUCAAGGUGCGGUCGCGUUCUAUUCAAUCGUUCAAGCGCUACUGCUCGUCACAACUCUAUUCGCUUUAGCGUAGGCUACUAGCAUGACUGGUAUUGCUCAGGGCAAUCUCGAUGACAACGGUCAAUGUUCCCCCCUUUCUACGCACGGAGAUAAUGUAAUCUUAAUAGUGCGCAGGCCAAGGCUGGCUCUUCAAAGCAGAUAUUAACAACGCGCUUUAAAGUUCCCAUCAUCCGUUCAGCAGAACUCUUUCAGCCUCAAGCGGGAGUCAAGUAAGGACAAACUACGCGUGCACCGGCUAUUCGGUUAAAUAAUGUUAAUAGUUGUCUCUCCCCAGUGCAUCACCCACUGCUCAGGGAGAUCCCCUCAUGCGUUGCCUUUACACCAUCUAGUGUUCAAAUACAACACUACUAACCUAUAACUCCGCUCAACUGGGAAAGAGAAGAAGAAGAAAGAAGAAGCGACUCCUCCAGGAGCACAGCGUUCUUAAUCACGAGGAACUAUAGGCCCAGUCACACGGAGUUCCUAGGCAUCACAUCAAACUCAUGGUAUUAACGUUCCUCUAACCAAACUGCGUGCAUCCACAUAAAAACGUCUUCAACGACAGUUGCUCUUCCUCACCGGGCAACCGUACUUCGCAUGCGGAUAAUCUUCGGCACGCCACGAUCUCCCGUUUCUGGACGUGGCAUCCGCCGGCCUCACGACGACCGCGUUUUUUCCCCGACUCUUAAGGACGUGCACUGCACAUCCUCCGUUUUGGGGGGAAUAUCUGCAUGAGAUCAUCCGCCAUAGCGGCACGCUCAGAUUUCCUAUCGCUUACACAUUACACUCGCUGGAUCUAACACUAGCGUCCCUUCAUCAUUCUCAUUUCAGAUGAUAGAAGACAGUCUUAAUCACUCAAUCAGCUCAUCAGCAUGUAUGACUCAUCGGCGCACUUAACUGCUAAUUAAGCUAUACUAGCCUAUAUCAUGGGUUAUGUCUCAGUAUUUAACUAAGUGUACGUCUUUUCUGCGUGCAUCCUGCACUUCAUUCAUAUUCUCGGGUUCAUGCUCACUUGGCUCGUGUUAAGCCAGGUUAUGAUAUUCAUGCAUCACCGUACUCAAGCUAACAGCUCUCGGGCAUUAUAUCGUCGACAUCUCCCUCUUCGCCCGGACAUCGGCUCGUGCUGCCAAUCAAGAUCCCUUCAGUUUACCUAUGGUAAAUAUGCAUAUAACUGGUGGUGGUGUCUUAAUAGCAUAUCAGGGCUUUCGUUCAGACAGGUGCUGCCAUUCAAGGCAUAUCUCCCUCAUCCCUGCAACUCGGACGGUGAUCCUCCUCCGCCUUCAUAUUCCACAUUCGCCCGGACAUCAGUGCGUGCCGGCUAUCCAAGGUCUCAAACACUAAACUUGAUCUCCGCAAUCAGCCAGUAAGGUAAGAAAUGCUUCACAUCUCAGUACUUCAUACUUCACAUCUUUUGGGGGUUCAUCGGAGCGGUUGUCCCCUCCCGAAUGAUCAUCCUGCAAACCAGGGCCUAAUCGCCAAACAUCAGUUCAUUCAUUUGUUGUAAUCUGUCAAUCACCAUUCUCUCAUAUCAUGUGUCCCGGUAAUAAACAUGUAUUUCAUGUCUCUCCUGAUUGAAAUGAAGCUUAGCGCAAGUUCAAUUAGGAAGACCAAUACCCCCUGGUGUUACACGUCAUUUCAAUACCCUCUCCUCUCCCAAUAAGUGAUCAGGGGCGUUACUCCCCAGCUAGCCAAUCAUCGCACCCGCUAACCCCUUUAAAUCUGCUCUUCCCUCUCUGUCAGUUUUCAUUUCAGGUGUCAACGCACAACCCUCCUCCACCCCUUUGCCUCCGUCUCCUAAUACAGGGCCAAGCUAAAAUCUUCUCCCUUCAGAACCGGACCGAACUACUUAUCACCACCAUCAGUGUCUAGACCCCGGGGGGUUCAUCGGAGCGGUUGUCCCCUCCCGAAUGAUCAUCCUGCAAACCGGGGCCUAAUCGCCAAACAUCAGUUCAUUCAUUUGUUGUAAUCUGUCAAUCACCAUUCUCUCAUAUCAUGUGUCCCGGUAAUAAACAUGUAUUUCAUACA